UACGGAGGAUGCGAGCGUUAUCCGGAUUUAUUGGGUUUAAAGGGUGCGUAGGCGGACGCUUAAGUCAGCGGUAAAAUUGCGGGGCUCAACCUCGUCGAGCCGUUGAAACUGGGUGUCUUGAGUGGGCGAGAAGUACGCGGAAUGCGUGGUGUAGCGGUGAAAUGCAUAGAUAUCACGCAGAACUCCGACUGCGAAGGCAGCGUACCGGCGCCCAACUGACGCUGAAGCACGAAGGCGUGGGUAUCGAACAGG
rnacentral:rRNA from 1 species